AACAGCCUCAGCUGAGCCCCUAGCCAGCAGCAAGCAUCCACGUGGCAGCCAUGUGAUGAAUGAACCAUCUUCUUGGAACUGGAACUGCCAGCCCCAUUCAGGCCACCGCCAGUGGUGCUAUGUGGAGAAGAGACAAGCUUUCCCUGCCAAGCCCUGUCCGAAUUGAAAAAUUAUCUUAUCUAAGCUUUCUUUGCCUACCCGUGCCUGGGAACCAGCAAUGAAGAAGAGUUUUGCUUUUGACAAUGUUGGCUACGAAGGUGGUCUGGAUGGCCUGGGCCCUUCUUCUCAGGUGGCCACCAGCACAGUCAGGAUCUUGGGCAUGGCUUGCCAGUCAUGUGUGAAGUCCAUUGAGGACAGGAUUUCCAAUUUGAAAGGCAUCGUCAGCAUGAAGGUUUCCUUGGAACAAGGCAGUGCCACUGUGAAAUAUGUGCCAUCGGUUGUGAGCCUGCAACAGGUUUGCCAUCAAAUUGGGGACAUGGGCUUCGAGGCCAGUAUUGCAGAAGGAAAGGCAGCCUCCUGGCCCUCAAGGUCCUUGCCUGCCCAGGAGGCUGUGGUCAAGCUCCGGGUGGAGGGCAUGACCUGCCAGUCCUGUGUCAGCUCCAUUGAAGGCAAGGUCCGGAAACUGCAAGGAGUAGUGAGAGUCAAAGUCUCACUCAGCAACCAAGAGGCUGUCAUCACUUAUCAGCCUUAUCUCAUUCAGCCGGAAGACCUCAGGGACCAUGUAAAUGACAUGGGAUUUGAAGCUGCCAUCAAGAACAAAGUGGCUCCCUUAAGCCUGGGACCAAUUGAUAUUGAGCGGUUACAAAGCACUAACCCAAAGAGACCUUUAUCUUCUGCUAACCAGAAUUUUAAUAAUUCUGAGACCUUGGGGCACCAAGGAAGCCAUGUGGUCACCCUCCAACUGAGAAUAGACGGAAUGCAUUGUAAAUCUUGCGUCUUGAAUAUUGAAGAAAAUAUUGGCCAGCUCCUAGGGGUUCAAAGUAUUCAAGUGUCCUUGGAGAACAAAACUGCCCAAGUACAGUAUGACCCUUCUUGUACCAGCCCAGUGGCUCUGCAGAGGGCUAUCGAGGCACUUCCACCUGGGAACUUUAAAGUUUCUCUUCCUGAUGGAGCCGAAGGGAGUGGGACAGAUCACAGGUCUUCCAGUUCUCAUUCCCCUGGCUCCUCCCCGAGAAACCAGGUCCAGGGCACAUGCAGUACCACUCUGAUUGCCAUUGCCGGCAUGACCUGUGCAUCCUGUGUCCAUUCCAUUGAAGGCGUGAUCUCCCAACUGGAAGGGGUGCAGCAAAUAUCGGUGUCUUUGGCCAAAGGGACUGCAACAGUUCUUUAUAAUCCCUCUGUAAUUAGCCCAGAAGAACUCAGAGCUGCUAUAGAAGACAUGGGAUUUGAGGCUUCAGUCGUUUCUGAAAGCUGUUCUACUAACCCUCUUGGAAACCACAAUGCUGGGAAUUCCGUGGUGCAAACUACAGGUGGUACACCUACAUCUGUGCAGGAAGUGGCUCCUCACGCUGGGAGGCUCCCUACAAACCAUGCCCCGGACAUCUUGGCAAAGUCCCCACAAUCAACCAGAGCGGUGGCACCGCAGAAGUGUUUCUUACAGAUCAAAGGCAUGACCUGUGCGUCCUGUGUGUCUAACAUAGAAAGGAAUCUGCAGAAAGAAGCUGCUCCUCGGCGGAUGGUACUUCUACGUUCAGGCCUACAAAUCUCUGAGACACAGGUCAGCCAACAUGGACGUGCUCAUCGUCCUGGCCACGAGCAUUGCUUACGUCUAUUCUCUGGUCAUCCUGGUGGUUGCUGUGGCUGAGAAGGCGGAGAGGAGCCCUGUGACAUUCUUCGACACGCCCC
rnacentral:sRNA from 1 species